rnacentral:rRNA from 1 species
GAUGAACGCUGGCGGCGUGCCUAAUACAUGCAAGUCGAGCGAACAGACGAGGAGCUUGCUCCUCUGACGUUAGCGGCGGACGGGUGAGUAACACGUGGAUAACCUACCUAUAAGACUGGGAUAACUUCGGGAAACCGGAGCUAAUACCGGAUAAUAUAUUGAACCGCAUGGUUCAAUAGUGAAAGACGGUUUUGCUGUCACUUAUAGAUGGAUCCGCGCCGCAUUAGCUAGUUGGUAAGGUAACGGCUUACCAAGGCAACGAUGCGUAGCCGACCUGAGAGGGUGAUCGGCCACACUGGAACUGAGACACGGUCCAGACUCCUACGGGAGGCAGCAGUAGGGAAUCUUCCGCAAUGGGCGAAAGCAUGACGGAGCAACGCCGCGUGAGUGAUGAAGGUCUUCGGAUCGUAAAACUCUGUUAUUAGGGAAGAACAAAUGUGUAAGUAACUAUGCACGGCUUGACGGUACCUAAUCAGAAAGCCACGGCUAACUACGUG